rnacentral:rRNA from 1 species
UACGGAGGGUGCAAGCGUUAUCCGGAUUCACUGGGUUUAAAGGGUGCGUAGGUGGGCAGGUAAGUCAGUGGUGAAAUCCCCGAGCUUAACUUGGGAACUGCCGUUGAUACUAUCUGUCUUGAAUGUUGUGGAGGUGAGCGGAAUAUGUCAUGUAGCGGUGAAAUGCUUAGAUAUGACAUAGAACACCAAUUGCGAAGGCAGCUCGCUACACAAUUAUUGACUCUGAGGCACGAAAGCGUGGGGAUCAAACAGG